rnacentral:rRNA from 1 species
GACGAACGCUGGCGGCGUGCUUAACACAUGCAAGUCGAACAAAGAGCGAUGGAAGCUUGCUUCUAUCAAUCUUAGUGGCGAACGGGUGAGUAACGCGUAAUCAACCUGCCCUUCAGAGGGGGACAACAGUUGGAAACGACUGCUAAUACCGCAUACGAUCUAAUCUCGGCAUCGAGGAUAGAUGAAAGGUGGCCUCUACAUGUAAGCUAUCACUGAAGGAGGGGAUUGCGUCUGAUUAGCUAGUUGGAGGGGUAACGGCCCACCAAGGCGAUGAUCAGUAGCCGGUCUGAGAGGAUGAACGGCCACAUUGGGACUGAGACACGGCCCAGACUCCUACGGGAGGCAGCAGUGGGGAAUCUUCCGCAAUGGACGAAAGUCUGACGGAGCAACGCCGCGUGAGUGAUGACGGCCUUCGGGUUGUAAAGCUCUGUUAAUCGGGACGAAAGGCCUUCUUGCGAAU